GGUGCGAGUGUAACACAACCAUUUAGUAAAAGUUAAAUUAGCAUUUUAAUGAUGAAAUUCUUCUCCCCUUUAAUCCUUUUGUUUGCAUCUCUCUUGAUUUGCUCAUCAACCAGGAUGGCGACAGGUACAAACUUAUUAUCAGGAACAUGUAAUCCGGAGAAACCUCCAAUUAUCCGAAUUUGGUUUUGCAAAAAUGAAGUAUGCCAGAAAAGAUGCAAAAUUGAACAUCCUACACAAACUGAACAACCUCGUUGCGUUGGCAGAGACACUUGUGUCUGUUGCUAUCAUCCAUAGUUGAGGAAAUAAAUCAUUUUCAUAUGAUCAAGGGGGUUUUAUUGUAUGGGGACAAAUCCCAAUGAAUAAAAAAUAAAUAAAUUAAAGAUUAUUAUUGUAUUUGUUCGUAUCGGGUUAACGAUACGUAUUUGAGAAAAAUUGAGAUU